GUAACAAGGUCUCCGUUGGUGAACCAGCGGAGGGAUCAUUACUGAGUUACCGCUCUAUAACCCUUUGUGAACGUACCUAACCGUUGCUUCGGCGGGCAGGGGAAGCCUCUCGCGGGCCUCCCCUCCCGGCGCCGGCCCCCACCACGGGGACGGGGCGCCCGCCGGAGGAAACCAAACUCUAUUUACACGACGUCUCUUCUGAGUGGCACAAGCAAAUAAUUAAAACUUUUAACAACGGAUCUCUUGGUUCUGGCAUCGAUGAAGAACGCAGCGAAAUGCGAUAAGUAAUGUGAAUUGCAGAAUUCAGUGAAUCAUCGAAUCUUUGAACGCACAUUGCGCUCGCCAGCAUUCUGGCGAGCAUGCCUGUUCGAGCGUCAUUUCAACCCUCAAGCACCGCUUGGUUUUGGGGCCCCACGGCCGACGUGGGCCCUUAAAGGUAGUGGCGGACCCUCCCGGAGCCUCCUUUGCGUAGUAACUAACGUCUCGCACUGGGAUCCGGAGGGACUCUUGCCGUUAAACCCCCAAAUUCUUUACAGGUUGACCUCGGAUCAGGUAGGAAUACCCGCUGAACUUAAGCAUAC
rnacentral:rRNA from 1 species